GAUAGCGUACACGGUGUUUAAUGAUAACAGUUCCUUGUCGAAAGCCAUGGAGCUGAACGGAUCUGACCUUGGUGGCUUCAGCUUGUUUGUCGACGAAGCGAAGCCUAGACCAGACCAGAUAACAGCUAUUAGUAACAACAGAGGAAGAUCUGGCAGGGCCCGUAGUAAUGAUAGAGGAGGAAGCUGAGGAUCUAAGAGGGGUCGUAGUGACGGGCGUGUACGCGGUAGCUGAGAUGACAGGGGCGGCCAUAGUGACAGAGGCCACUGUGGUCAGAGUGGUGCACCUCACAGGCAGAGUGCUCUUACAGCUAGUACAGGGAGGAAGAUAAUUUUUUGGUGAUGACUGGGCCAGUGCGUGAUCUAGAAUCUAGAAGCUUUAAAACACCAAAUCCUGCGACUAGUGAAAUGGGAACAAUUCUUUUGGUGCCUCGAGACUUGUUACCGAUCUUGUUAGUUACUCUUACUGUAGACCGUGUUGGUGCAUCUGCCAAAAAACAAAAUCGUCUGUUUUUGGAGAUUUAUACAUGCAUGAUAAAUUUACUGUUUUGGAGAUUA